UUGAGAACAAGAGCUCAUCUUACCUGAUCAAGGUUUUGAAAGAAAAAAUGAAAGAAAGAACCGGAGGACAUAAAUAAAACCCUUCCCCCCCGCAAAAAUGGGAGGGGGAUGAAACCCCAUCUCCAGCUCACAUCGACGAGAUUGGGAUCGGGAAAAGAGGUGGAUUGCCGAUGUGAGCCGGAAGCCAAAGCGGAUCCAAUUUCCAACCUCCUACCUCCACCAUCGUCCAUGGCCAUGGCCCGUGAAGAUGCAAAUAGGCCGCCUUAGAGCCUGCCCGACAUAACGUGGCGGCCCAAUCCGAUCCACAAUUAUGCAACAUCCGGCCCAUCCUAAGUCAGAGCCCACAUCCACAUGAGUACGGUUAUACAAAAAAAAACAAAUAAUAGAGAAUAAUAUUAUUUUUAUAAAGAAUUAUUCCCGCCCCUGCAAACCAAGCUGAUUAACUUUGAGCUUUUGUAUAGACCAUCAAAAGUAUAGUUUAGUGUGAGCGGGUAUUGGAGAGUCAGAUAGAAACAUCAUCCUCAAACUCAACAUUAUAAGAUUCAUCACCCAAAAAGGAAAAUAGAGGAAAGCAUGAGCAGCUAGUUUAGGCUUUGCACCAGUACAAGGCUCGGUCAAAAGAAGAGCUACGCAGAUUUCUAACUCCUCCAGAUUUUUCAUUUGCAGUAACUAACAAACACCGUCAACUACCAUUGGUUAGGGCGGUCCAACGACAGUUGUUUAUGGCCAAAUGACUUAUUAGUUAUUGGGUCAUAGCACACAAUUGUAAUUGUUGAGACAGAACCUCGUAGCCUAAAACAUCAAUACAUUUGCACUCUCUAUCAAUUCCGCUAGUUAUAGCCUUUUGAGUUCUCCUUUUUUUUCCUUUUUUUUUUUUCUGGACUUUUAUGGAAAAAUCUUUUCCGUCACAAUAUUAUCUUAUAAAAUAAUUUUCAAAUUCUUAUAUAGUGCUAAAUAAAAUAAAAAUAAAUUAAUUAACAAUAAUAUAAUAUGUAUUUAAUAAUUUAAUUAAAUGUUAUGAAUUCUAUUUGCCGGAGAAAACUUUUUGCUCUGGGAGGAGUCAUCACCCACCGAACGUAAUACGUGGCUACACGUCAAACCGAUGACCAAUCACCUAGCGACACGUCAUCGCGACCUGCAAGAGGAGACGGGCACAGACGAGGGUAAAAAGAGGAGGAUAAUUACUAUUAAAAAAAUAAACUUAAUUAUCUCGAAAAUA
rnacentral:lncRNA from 1 species